AUUGAACGCUGGCGGCAUGCCUUACACAUGCAAGUCGAACGGUAGAGGGGGCAACCCCUUGAGAGUGGCGAACGGGUGAGUAAUAUAUCGGAACGUGCCCAGUCGUGGGGAUAACGUAGCGAAAGUUACGCUAAUACCGCAUACGAUCUAUGGAUGAAAGCGGGGGAUCGCAAGACCUCGCGCGAUUGGAGCGGCCGAUAUCAGAUUAGGUAGUUGGUGAGGUAAAGGCUCACCAAGCCGACGAUCUGUAGCUGGUCUGAGAGGACGACCAGCCACACUGGGACUGAGACACGGCCCAGACUCCUACGGGAGGCAGCAGUGGGGAAUAUUGGACAAUGGGCGAAAGCCUGAUCCAGCAAUGCCGCGUGAGUGAUGAAGGCCUUAGGGUUGUAAAGCUCUUUUACCCGAGAUGAUAAUGACAGUAUCGGGAGAAGUAAGACUCCGGCUAACUCCGUGCCAGCAGCCG
rnacentral:rRNA from 1 species